rnacentral:misc_RNA from 1 species
GGAAGUAAAGGUCGUAACAAGGUUUCCGUAGGUGAACCUGCGGAAGGAUCAUUAUCCAUCUCAAACCAGGUGCGGUCGCGGCCCCCGGGGGCUUGCUCCCGGGUGGUAGGGGUAACACCCUCACGCGCCGCCUGCCUGUACCCUCUUUUUACGAGCACCUUUCGUUCUCCUUCGGCGGGGCAACCUGCCGCUGGAACCAAAACAAAACCUUUUUUGCAUCUAGCAUUACCUGUUCUGAUACAAAUAAUCGUUACAACUUUCAACAAUGGAUCUCUUGGCUCUG